ACACCUCAACUCUCAUGGUUCGCCGUGACGAGCUUGGACUUUGGAGGCUUUGCUGGCCUGCGGUCGGCUCCUCUCAAACAAAUCAGCUUACCGGUGUAUUGGUGGCGUCGCGGGUGUGAUAACUAUCUACGCUUGCGGUCGCCUGCCAAACAACCUCUGGCGCUGUCGGAGGUUUGCUGGGGCUCAUAAACGUCUCCCGAGUGAAGACAGCCUUCUGAAC
rnacentral:misc_RNA from 1 species